CAGUUCAGAUUGUAGGCUGAAACUCGCCUAUAUGAAGUCGGAAUUGCUAGUAAUCGCGGAUCAGCAUGCCGCGGUGAAUACGUUCCCGGGCCUUGUACACACCGCCCGUCACACCAUGAGAGUCGAUAACACCCGAAGCCUGUAGUCUAACAGCAAAGGGGGCGCGGCCGAAGGUGGGUUCGAUAAUUGGGGUGAAGUCGUAACAAGGUAAC
rnacentral:rRNA from 1 species